rnacentral:rRNA from 1 species
GAGGUUAAGCGACUAAGCGUACACGGUGGAUGCCCUGGCAGUCAGAGGCGAUGAAGGACGUGCUAAUCUGCGAUAAGCGUCGGUGAGGUGAUAUGAACCGUUAUAACCGGCGAUUUCCGAAUGGGGAAACCCAGUGUGUUUCGACACACUAUCAUUAACUGAAUCCAUAGGUUAAUGAGGCGAACCGGGGGAACUGAAACAUCUAAGUACCCCGAGGAAAAGAAAUCAACCGAGAUUCCCCCAGUAGCGGCGAGCGAACGGGGAGGAGCCCAGAGCCUGAAUCAGUGUGUGUGUUAGUGGAAGCGUCUGGAAAGGCGUGCGAUACAGGGUGACAGCCCCGUACACAAAAAUGCACAUAUUGUGAGCUCGAUGAGUAGGGCGGGACACGUGGUAUCCUGUCUGAAUAUGGGGGGACCAUCCUCCAAGGCUAAAUACUCCUGACUGACCGAUAGUGAACCAGUACCGUGAGGGAAAGGCGAAAAGAACCCCGGCGAGGGGAGUGAAAAAGAACCUGAAACCGUGUACGUACAAGCAGUGGGAGCCUCUUAAUGGGGUGACUGCGUACCUUUUGUAUAAUGGGUCAGCGACUUAUAUUCUGUAGCAAGGUUAACCGAAUAGGGGAGCCGAAGGGAAACCGAGUCUUAACUGGGCGUUAAGUUGCAGGGUAUAGACCCGAAACCCGGUGAUCUAGCCAUGGGCAGGUUGAAGGUUGGGUAACACUAACUGGAGGACCGAACCGACUAAUGUUGAAAAAUUAGCGGAUGACUUGUGGCUGGGGGUGAAAGGCCAAUCAAACCGGGAGAUAGCUGGUUCUCCCCGAAAGCUAUUUAGGUAGCGCCUCGUGAAUUCAUCUCCGGGGGUAGAGCACUGUUUCGGCAAGGGGGUCAUCCCGACUUACCAACCCGAUGCAAACUGCGAAUACCGGAGAAUGUUAUCACGGGAGACACACGGCGGGUGCUAACGUCCGUCGUGAAGAGGGAAACAACCCAGACCGCCAGCUAAGGUCCCAAAGUCAUGGUUAAGUGGGAAACGAUGUGGGAAGGCCCAGACAGCCAGGAUGUUGGCUUAGAAGCAGCCAUCAUUUAAAGAAAGCGUAAUAGCUCACUGGUCGAGUCGGCCUGCGCGGAAGAUGUAACGGGGCUAAACCAUGCACCGAAGCUGCGGCAGCGACACUAUGUGUUGUUGGGUAGGGGAGCGUUCUGUAAGCCUGUGAAGGUGGCCUGUGAGGGUUGCUGGAGGUAUCAGAAGUGCGAAUGCUGACAUAAGUAACGAUAAAGCGGGUGAAAAGCCCGCUCGCCGGAAGACCAAGGGUUCCUGUCCAACGUUAAUCGGGGCAGGGUGAGUCGACCCCUAAGGCGAGGCCGAAAGGCGUAGUCGAUGGGAAACAGGUUAAUAUUCCUGUACUUGGUGUUACUGCGAAGGGGGGACGGAGAAGGCUAUGUUGGCCGGGCGACGGUUGUCCCGGUUUAAGCGUGUAGGCUGGUUUUCCAGGCAAAUCCGGAAAACCAAGGCUGAGGCGUGAUGACGAGGCACUACGGUGCUGAAGCGACAAAUGCCCUGCUUCCAGGAAAAGCCUCUAAGCAUCAGGUAACAUCAAAUCGUACCCCAAACCGACACAGGUGGUCAGGUAGAGAAUACCAAGGCGCUUGAGAGAACUCGGGUGAAGGAACUAGGCAAAAUGGUGCCGUAACUUCGGGAGAAGGCACGCUGAUAUGUAGGUGAAGCGACUUGCUCGUGGAGCUGAAAUCAGUCGAAGAUACCAGCUGGCUGCAACUGUUUAUUAAAAACACAGCACUGUGCAAACACGAAAGUGGACGUAUACGGUGUGACGCCUGCCCGGUGCCGGAAG